UGUAAUCUUCUCUCCAGAUUUUGUUUUCUUAAGCAACAACUAUCUUCUUCCUAGCUUGGAGUUAAUUUGUAAGGCAAAAAUGGCUGCUUCUAAGGCCACCAAGUUCAUGGUCGUGGCUGUUCUUGUUGCGAUGUUGCUGCUCAUGGCCACUGAGCUGGCCACUGCACUAGUGCUUGAUGGAGCAGCGUCAGAACUCAAGCUUGGACGAAGGGCUCUUCAGGCUGAGUACAACACCGAUGGCCGGGGAGGAUACAAUAGCUACAACACCACCGGCCGGGGAGGAUAUAAUUAGAUGACUGGCUAUUGUACGUUUAGUACUACAUAAAAUAAGUUGAUGCUUUGUUGUGCUAUAUUAUGCGUGAUGCCUGAGCCAUACUACGUACGUACACUUAAUUAGGCUCAGAAUAAAUUGUUGCCCGGAAUACCAUAUAUAUAUAUAUGGUAUUUUGAGAUGGCGAUAUUUAUAGUAAAAAAAUGUGUGUUAUGUUUUGUGGAGGUUUCGUUGUAAUAAAGCAGUCUUCUGCGAUCGACUAUAUAUAGUUUUGAAGUGAAUCUCCAUCA